CAUCGCAGACAUUUUGACAUGUCAUAGCAAGAAAAUCACAGGUGUGAUUAAUCCAUCUAAAAAGGAAAGGGAUUCUGUCCUCAAAUAAGUCACUAUUUAACAGUCUGGUCAAGUGCAACAUUUUCAGGCAAUACUUCCUUGUCUGGUCCAGUAAAAUAAUGCAUUUUGAGUGUAGGACUACCUAUUCCUGGUUAAAUGCUCUACCUGUGGAAUGGUUGUGUUUCUUGUACAUACUGUAAUUCUCAAAUGCUCCUCAGUGUAGGACCUUCCUUUGAUCAUACACUUUUUACCACCUUCAGCACACAAUGUCAGUUCAUCACAUUCUUUCUGUAUGUCUAGUCAAUAAAUGCAUAGUUCAAGAGAUCGUCACGUAUGUAGAAUGCAUAUCAAGCCGAUGUUUGACCGUAUGCAGAAACUCUGCCAGUUUUUUCACUAGAGCAUGUAGGCCUACUGAUAGAGCCCAGCCUCUAAUGAACAAGUCAAGCCCUCGGACCAAAAGCUUUUACCCAAGACAUGUUGAGAUGAAGGAAGCUUAAGACAUUCUCCUUUUCACCAUAAAAUUGGCAUCAUAGUAGAUACAGGAGCUAAAAUAUCUGGUAGUCUAAUAAAGUAUUUGGCUCAUAUGUCAGUUUAUUCCUGAAUUUGGCAAAGCUGUUAUUAAGCAUUAAACCCAGGUGACAGUCUUCAUUUGAAAACAUUGGGUAUUAACACAGCACAUCCAAACGUGCUUAAUGAGGAACACACUUGUUUUAAAUAUACAAGGCUGUGGUUUGUCACAUCUGUCGGGUUUUACUUUAAUUCUAUUCAGGUCUUAUAUGUGGCUGUUGCAUUUUUACUGUGUUUAUUUCUAUGUUGACUAUUUUAUUCUGCCAUUUUGCACAUUACACAUGACAGCUAAGCAUUUCGUGAUCGAAUCAGGGUUUCCACUGAAACUGAUGACUGACACUCAAGCAUACUUAGGAUGGGGGCACAUACGUAUCAGUGGAUUUUCUGUAACGUCAAUACAGUUCUGCUGCAAUGAGGGUUUCCAUAACGAGCACAGAAAUCCCAUCCUGUGCGGAUUAAGAACUACGGAUCAGCAUCUCAAGGAAACACGUGCAAGGGGAUGAUUAGAGGGGAGGGCCGAGAUGGACAACCAGCUAUCCACCAUCUUGGAAAUAGCCCUGUGGUUCGGUGGCACUGGUUUCUAUACAUACCACGUCCUUUUCGCAUCCUAGGCCACAGGCCGCCUCCAGCAGUUCAACCAGGGCGACUACUGGGGUGCACUUGAUUCAGAGCUCUACUGCCGCAUUUUCAUAGCACGCUCUUCCCUUCACACCCAUCCACCAAAUGUGUUAUCCUGCCCUUUGACCCCAUCUGCACCUACCAGGGAGGACAGCCAUCUGCCUCAGACACCUGAAUAUUGCCAUCCGCAUCAUCCUCCAAGGUCGAUCCUUCCUCUCCCACUUACUCCCGACCAAUCAGUGGUGUUCAGCUCUGCAAACUUCAGCCCAAUAGCUCCUGAACCAUCACAAUGUACUGCCCCCACAGCAGGGACUGCUUUUACACCUGGAACAAUCCAACAGGAAAAGAUUUGGUUCCUCCAGUCAAAACUCCUCAAAAGGCAGGGCCAUGUGAGAGGCAGCAGUGGACUGAAUAACUCCCAGCUCUCCCCUGUGGAAUGGACCCCCUUAUUGAAUGGAGUGUUGUCUCUCAGGCCGAGCGCUGGCCUUGAUUUGGAGCCAGGAAACCCAACUGUCCCUGUCCAUCAGUAUGACAAGCCGAGCCGACGAUAAACCCAACGACCUGGCAGAGGGGGGCACAGGAGUGCUGGGUUAGGGCUGGGGUAGUUAGGGAUUCUGCAGAGGGUACUGAUGAUUGGCAGGCAGAAGGACAGAUUUACUUUCCUGCCGAUGAUCAUAGCCAUCGUGGUUCACCUGAUCUCUGCAGUAUCCUGUCCAGCUGCCUUGCCUGCUCUGCCUACCACGCCAACUGAGCCAACUCCAGAACACUUUCACCGCCUCUAUCCUCAGAGCCUUGCCGAUUCUAAAUGAACAACACUGGAAGGUUUCCUCAUUGGCUUUGCCACGGACUACAGCUGCCUCGUCCGCUCUGGAGGAGCAUUCUACCCACCAGUGAUCUUUGUCACAUUUAGAAUAAAGAAUGUUGAACUAAC